rnacentral:misc_RNA from 1 species
UCCGGUUUGGCACCGGCAGUCUCCGUAGAGUCCCCGACAUUACUCGCUGGCAACUACGGACAGGGGUUGCGCUCGUUGCGCCACUUAAGGCAACACCUCACGGCACGAGCUGACGACAGCCAUGCAGCAUCUGUGCACCGGCCCCGAAGGGGGGCUGUGUUUCCACGGCUUACCGGUGCAUGUCAAGCCUUGGUAAGGUUCUGCGCGUUGCGUCGAAUUAAACCACACGCUCCGCUGCUUGUGCGGGCCCCCGUCAAUUCCUUUG